ACGCGCCGCCAUGCCGACUUGAUGGAUGGGCGCCGUGUAAUCACCCGGUAAGGCGUAUUACUACGCCGUAAUGGCAUCUGCAUGCGAGCCGACCGUACCGGCACGUAAAUUAUCCCACCAGAUUCACCUCGCAGCCGCGGCAGCCACCGGAUGUUUUCCUUGAAGCUUGAGGAGAGGAUUGCAGCUGAUGGGAGAAUCUUGAGGGGCGUUCCUUAGAGAAGGAGGUUGUAGGUGUGCCCCCAGACUGUAGAGAUUCUAACUGCAGCGUGAGAACCGGACAAUGUGUGCUCGUGUAUGGAGGGAACCGUGAUAGGGCAUAGGAUUGAUCCGUUCCUGGGAAAAAACAGUGGCAGUAAAGUACCGGGAACCGGACGGGACGAAACUGUUGACACGAGGGCAGUGAACAAAGGUUAUCGUUAAAGCCAUUCUGAAGCGGAGGCACAGUGCUGUAGCUGUAUGAUCGGCAGUCCUGGCCACACAGCCAGCCAGACGGUAUUCUGAUGCGGACCCGGGUCAGCCGUUCCAGAAGAGAACACACAGUACUACAAAGAUACAGAGGAUCAACUUCCGCACGCGCCGAGCAUCAUGGGAGGGAUCAUGACCAUCAUCCUGGUGGCGGGAUCCAUCUUGGCCCUCCUGACGCUGAUCGUCAUCAUCAUCAUCCUGUGCUGCUGUCGUCUCAAGGAGCACUGUGACGCGUGUUGCCUUGCCGAGGAGGACGACAAGAACUUCCCGCACAUCUACAGAACACACCACGGGCUGAACGACAGGACUAGUAGCACGACAAACUCCCGACCAGGAAGGAUAUGCCGGUCGGGAAGCCUUUACGUGUCUGCCGUAUGACUACCGUAUGACUGCCGUAUGUCUGCCGUAUGACUGGCGCAGAUUGCCGGGACGUCAAAGACCCUUUCACACCCUCGAGCCUUUACAGUGACAGUGACAUUGUUCUUAUUGUAUGUAAGACUUUGACUGAAGAUUCAUUGACGACAUGAUCACUUAUUGAGAGUUUAUUUGCAAAAUCAUGCCCGAAGGCUAAUUGCACGUACAGUCUCGAAAUAAGAGUAGAGCCAUAACAGUACAUAACAUUGGUUUCUAAUCUACUAUAAGGUUACUUAUGUUAAUACUGUAUGUCUGUAAUUGUUUUUAACAUGGCGAAAAUACUACAGAUGUGACAAAACGAUGUAAAAAGUGCCGAUGGGAUUGCUACCACUUGUGACUUGAUGGAUUUUGUGACAUCCUCGUUGUUUUGUAUGAAGCGUAACGUAUCACGUAGAUGA